rnacentral:rRNA from 1 species
GAUGAACGCUGGCGGCGUGCCUAAUACAUGCAAGUCGAGCGAACAGACGAGGAGCUUGCUCCUCGGACGUGAGCGGCGGACGGGUGAGUAACGCGUGUAUAACCUACCUAUAAGACUGAUAUAACUUCGGGAAAGCGGAGCUAAUACCGUAGAAGAUAUUGAAGCGCAGGGGUCGAUGGUGAAAGACGGUGUUGCGGUCACGUAUAGAGGGAUCCGCGCCGCAUUAGCUAGUUGUGAAGGUAACGGCCUACCAAGGCAAGGAUGCGUAGACGAGCGGAGAGGGUGAUCGGCCACCUUGGAACUGAGACACGGUCAAGACUCCUACGGGAGGCCGCAGUAGGGAAUCUUACGCAAUGGGCGAAAGCAUGACGGAGCAACCCCGCGUGAGUGAUGAAGAUCUUCGGAUCGUAAAACUCUGUUAUUAGGGAAGAACAAAUGUGUACGUAACUAUGCCCGUAUUGACGGUAACUAAUCAGAAAGCAACGGCUAACUACGUG